ACCUUCUGUGGUAUAGUGGUAGCACCUUGAUUUAGCAAUCUUAAGUCCUAGGUUCGAGUCCCAGUCGGGGUA